UAUUGGUCUCUGUUGUUCACUACCAGCAGAUCAACUACAGAAAUGGCACACAACAUCGGAGCCCCUUGCCAGGAGAGCAACAUGCUGUUCCUCAGAACCAAGCAGUCUCAAUCUCUAAAUUCAGACCAUCUAGGUAAACAAAAACCACGACUGCUUUCUGACUAGAACUCUUCACUUACUGGACCACUCAUGAAGACUGGAUGACACCAAACUCAUUGUGGAGAUAGAAAAACAAAAAGAGCUCUAUGGCCCACAGAGUAAAUAUUAUAAAGAUAUUAGAGAAGAAAACACAUGGGGAUAAGUUGCCUCUGCUGUUGAUGGUAAGUUUUUAUAUAUAAUUAUUUGGGAUGCAUGACAUGUCCCAGAUAAGUAACUUAUCUAAUGUUUCAGCAAAGAGAUUGUUUGUUCUGUUUUACUGUGUAUCUAGGCUAUACAUAGUUUUAUUUCUGACUGUAGCUUAGAAAUAGUUAUUUCCAUAGUUCGACAUUUUAUGAAUAAAUGGAAACAGUGAGAGAUUA